rnacentral:snoRNA from 1 species
AAUCCAUGGUGAGGGCAAUCACGUUCAUACUCCUUAAAUCGUUCCCAGGCUUCAUAGAAAGUUUCAGUCGGUCCUUGCUGAAAACUUGAGAUGUUGGUUCUCAAGAAG